GCCAAAUAGCAAGCCUACCCCCCUCAUAACAAAAAACAACUAUUUAUACCCCCACAAACACCCAAAAACAAAAAUAAACCAUU
rnacentral:rRNA from 1 species